rnacentral:lncRNA from 1 species
AUUACCAAUAGGAGACGCACUUCCUCAGUUUAGUUUCACCAUAGGAGACGCACUUCCUAAGUUUAAUCUUACCAAUAGGAGACCCGCCUGUAGAACGGAGUUUGUUGUAUGUCGAAGAAAAGAAGAAAUCAGGCAUCCACCUGGAGAACAAGGACAAAGAAAAGAAGUAAUCAGGCGUCCACCUGGAGAACAAGGACAAAGAAAAAUAGAAAUCAGGCGUCCACCUGGAGAAAAAUGACAAAGAAAAGAAAUAAUCAGGCGUCCACCGGAAGAAUAAGGACAAAGGAAGGAAGAAAUCAGGCAUCCACAUGGAGAACAAGGAUAAAAGAAAUAGAAAUCAGGCACCCACCUGGAGAAUA